rnacentral:misc_RNA from 1 species
AACGCAUAUUGUGCCUCUUGGUAAUUCGAGAGGUAUGCCUGUCUGAGUGUCAUUUCACCUCUCAAACUGAUUUGAAUUGGUUUGGUUUUGGGUGAAGGCCUUGUUGGCCUCUCCUGUAAUAUAUGUACAAGUGAAGUGUUUGAUUUGUUGCUGGUUGAAGUAAACGUUUGUCUAGUGCAACAUUCAGCUAGGUUGCCAACAAAGUUGAAUCCAAAAGCUUUCUUCAAUUUAUAUAUAUAUCUUCUUGGUUUGGCCUCAGAUCAGGUAGGACUACCUGCUGAACUUAA